UGUUGCACUCAAAGUACACAAAUGCCUUUUGCUUGAAAAGGUGUGAACCAUCACUCAUGAGCAUGCAUAAUGACUGGUGUCAUCUACUAAACCCCCUUAUUUUAUCGUUCAAUAGUAUCUUCAAGCAUAUAAAUAGGUGAUCGCCAAAGCUUAAAGCAUUCCCAUCUUUCUUUGUGAGAAUUUUGAGCAACAUACGAGUUCAAGAAAUCAUGAAAUAUUUCAAGUUUUUGAUUUUGCUAGGCCUUCUGCUUGGCACCCUGGUUUUCGUCUCUUCCACUGGUGUAGCUGAGACAUCCAAAGAUGAGAACAAAGCAACAGAGUCAAAAGCAGUAGACGAUAGCACUGAAACAAAGCCUAAUGGAUAUGGAUAUGGAUAUGGAGGCGGCGGCUAUGACGGUUGGGGGGGCAGAGGAAGUUACGGAGGUGGAGGCUGGGGGGGAGGAGGUGGUUGGGGGCCCCCCAGUGGUUGGGGGCCCCCCAGUGAUUGGUGGCCCCCCAGUGGUUGGGCGCCCCCCAUUGGUUGGGGGAAAGGUGGCUGGGGGAAAGGCGGUGGAGGCUGGAGGAAAGACAGUGGUGGAGAAAACUAAAGCCAUAUGCCUUCAUCAGUCUCAAAAGACUAUUUUAUGAGAACUAUGCAUAUAUAUAAGUAGAACACCGUCUAUGCUAGGAAAUAUGAAUAGGCUGCAUGCAUGCAUGCCAUCAUGUUCAUAUGUAAUUGCUAGUCUUAUAUCAAAUAUGUAUCACUUUAAAAUGUGUCAUUUUAAAGUUUCUCUUAAGGGUUAAUCUCAGUUUACUACCUUGAA